GAAGCUCCUCUUUCGUGCGCGUCUCAUCGGGUCGCUUCGCAGCGGCACGUGUGCGCGGGCUGUUCGUCUCCUUCUGCUUUACGCAUACCAAUGAUGUAAGCGCAUCGCCACACACGCGCACACACACCAGCACACCGAUAGGCCCACAAAGGGAGCACGAGGGAGGAGCGAGGUUGAACGGAAAGGGGGACUCUUUCAUCACCGCACUUCUCUGCUUCUCUAUACUCUUGUUGUUUAAGCUUGCCAGAAGCCGUGAGCGUGUGUGUCUGUGUAUGUGUGUUAGGCCUCAGGAACGUAACCGUAGGAGGGCGGCGUCGUGAACGUUUAGGCGGAAGCGCGUGCGCACACUAGAAUACGGCGUGACGUGGGAGGGAGAGGGAAGGGGCGACGACGGCACGUCUUCUGUAACCGUCUCAGAGGCCGCAGCUUCGAGUAAAGGUGAAUCCGCUGCUGUGUACUCGCAUAACCGUCUCCUUUUUCUCUUCGUCUAGUCCAUCUCAACAUCCGUCAUGUCUCGUGCCAGAGAAGUCUCGCAGAAGCUCACCUGCUAUGGGGGCAUCACACUGCCGAACAUCCCACGCAUCGCUCCAGAUGAGAAGAGCCGGCAGAAGUACCUCAGCGAGUACGAAAAGUAUGAACCGGAGCUGCGCCGCCAUCACUUGGGAGAUGCAGAGACAACCAACACGAUAGGACUCAAGGACGUCCCACCAGACUUUGAUCGAACGAUGCCGUCUCUCUUGGACCCCACCGCAGCAGAAGUGGAGUACGAGCGGGCCCGCGAGGGUAGAAAAGCACAGGUGCUGCGCAAAGGUCACCGCGGCGCCAGCGCCCGGGUAGCCCAAGCCGCCGGAACGGUGAAUCCGGCACCGGCUGCGCGAAAGUCCAUCUCGCCGCAGCCGUCGCAGACUGCGCUGGCAGAUGAGGAGCCCCAGCAAAAGGGCACCCCGUCCCCCUCAUCCCCUUCUAGUGCAGCUGGCACGCCCACAACCGCCGCUACAGCGGCUUCGGCAGCGAGUGAAGAAGCUGCGCGACUCACCCCUGUCGAAGCCGACGGAACGCGCACCUGGGAUGCAGUCGUGAUCGAGGCCGCACCUGCACACGUGCCUCGGCCGCCCUCAGAACGCUCGCAUCCGAAGUCCGCGACGGCCACGACACCUAUGAGUCAGCCUCGCGCACGCACCGCCCCUUCCUUGAAGCCGCAGCAGGAUGCCACACGCCUCGGAACGAGAACCGGCACGUCACCUGCCGCUUCUGCCCGAGCGGCGAGGCCGAAGUCGCGUCCGCGAGCUCAGCCCGAGCGAGCGACCACGCCUGCCACAGCCCCCACCACUCCACGCAGACUCCGCACCCCGUUCGCCGCGCAUGAACCACCUACCGCGGAAUCUACGGCGCGUGUGCUGCGUGUGCUGCUCGACCCGCCACAGCAGUACGCCAGCUCCCUCCAUCUCGACCUGUCUUCCUUUGACCUCGGGUGGCUGCGGAACGGGCAGGCGGCGCCACGUCACCUCACCACCAUCGCGAAGCACUUCAACGACAAUGGGGCAUCGCCGCAGCUCCGCAUCAACUCACCACGCUCCGUGAUCGCUUUCCUGGAGAACGGCGCCUCGCCCAAGGACUGGGACCCGAGAAGCAGUGCCGCUUCCGCCUCCGCUGCCGCGCUGGGAGGCGCGACGCAGGACAUGGCUGCAGUGCAGGUAGAGGUGCAUGAGCACCGCCGCGCGUACGUGCAGGCCCAACGCGAUGCUCUGCGCCGCACCCUGCAGGAUAGCUACUCGGUGCUCUGCGCCCGUGUCCCUUUCAAUGAGCUCGUCGGUUGGUACCGUCGUCUGUGCGAGGCAGACAUGCUGGCAGAUGCGGCGCUUGAGGAGCAGCAGCAUUCCUUGGCAACGGCGGUGCGGCAGCUGCAGGAACGACAGCGGCAGGUGUUCGAGACCAACAAGAUUCGCAUGAUGCGCCAGAUGCAGCAGGCCAAAGAACUGCAGGAGCGCCAGGAAGCCUCGGUGCAGCGGAAACUGCAAGCGGAGGCGGAGGCAGGGGAGCUGCGACGCCAAAAGGCGCUUGAGGAACAGGAGCGUCGUCGACUGCAGCAGGCCCGCCUAGAGGCGCACCGAGCCGAACGGCAGCGCCGGGAAGAGGCGUACAAGCAGCAGCUGCAGGCUCGCCUCAACAGGGCAGAGACCUGCAACGCCGAACGUAUGGCUGCGCGCGAGAGGCAGCUGCAGGCAAUGCAGCAGCGGCGCGAGGCGCAAGAGGCUGAGCGGCUUCGCCGGUUGGAGCGCAGCACGGCGGUACUCGAAGAGAAGUUUGCCGCAAAAGAGCAGAAACGGCGGGAAAAGGCAGCGAAGCUGGAGCAGCUGCGCGCGGCACGCGAGGCACGACUCGCAGAAGAGCGCCGCGCGCUUGCAGAGAAGCAGCAGCGAGCUGCAUACCUGCGAGAAGAAGCGAAACGGCGCUCGGAGGAGGCAGAAGAAGCGGCGCGGCGGGAGGCCCUGCAGCGUCAGCAGCACGCCGAGGAGCGCUUGCGCGAGUUUCAGUCCCGUCGGCACGAAGAGGCCGCGCAGCGGGCGGUCGCAGCGGCGGCGCACCACGAGCGCUGUAACGAAAUCCGCUCCCAGGCGUUGGCGAAGGAGGAGCUGUUCAAGGCGACCGUCGAGGAUAAGCAUCGCCAAAGCGAGGAGCACCACCGCGAAAGGCAGUCGCGCCAGCUGACCGAAUUUAUGUGGCGCCGCGAGGCAAACUGGGAGGAGGAGGAGGCCAAGACGUAUGCCGUGCUGCAGCUGCAGCGCAUCGCCGAGUUCAACAAGCUGCACACCGUCGUCGACCUCUUGGAAAAGCGCAAGGCCGCUAACGCGGUCGUGCGACACCGUGAGCUCAUUUGCGAAAAGGUGAUGCGCGCUCGCGACGAGUUGCGGGCGGGGCGGGACAUCUUGAAGCAAGAGAUAGAAAAAUCGUCUUAGGAGACGUGGCGGUGAGCAGAGUGGUGUGUGUGCGAUGUCAUGCAGGCCACUGCACGGCGUAUUUUUUCGUUGAAGGCACGGCAGCAAGGACGAUAUCUCUUCCUCGAGAUUAUACUACGCUAUCGAGCGUGUGAGGUGAAGUGAAUCGAUUGAUCUUCGACUUUUUUUGUCUCGGUGGUGCGUUGAUAUGUUGUGCGCAGGUGUGUGUGUGUGCAUACCGUUGUCUAUCCUUUUCGACCAUGUAAUCUAGUCUCUCCCAGCAUGUAUUGUGAUACACUUUUAUCAUCGUUUGUGUAGGUACUCGUGUGCACAAGUGUGUGUGUGUGUGUGUGUGUGUGUGCAUGUCGCGAUCUCCUCCCUCCCCCUCAUUAUUUUCUUUUCGAUCAUUAUUCUCACCUGCUGUCGGAGGCCGGUGACGUGCAGGUGAUGGAGUAAAAGCUGCCUUCCCCGUAUCCCGGUGAUG
rnacentral:misc_RNA from 1 species